rfam:Sarcophilus harrisii ctg7180002483362, whole genome shotgun sequence.
CGCGGGUCGGAGACCCAAUUCGGAUAGUGUCUCCAGCCAAGGAGUAUCCAGGCAUCCACCAUAUGAAGCAAGAAACCAGCCGGCUCUGAGG